GACGAACGCUGGCGGCGUGCCUAAUGCAUGCAAGUCGCACGCAGGGUGCUUGCACUCUGAGUGGCGCACGGCUGAGGAUCACGUGGGAACAUGCCUCCUUGUGGGGGACAACACCACGAAAGCGGUGCUAAUCCCGCAUACGCUCUCGUGAGAGAGGAAAGCGGUAACGCGCAGGGAGAGUGGCCCGCGGCCCAUCAGGU
rnacentral:rRNA from 1 species